UUGGGUACGUAAUGUAUCUUAAGAAAGUUGCGGUGCUCCGCGAUUGGCGGUAAUGGUGAACGCUUCGUUUGGUUGCUUGCUGAAGUUAUCCUUUUAUGGUAAGAACAAGAAGUACGUAGGUACCCAUUUUAUAACGCAGGCAACCAAUCGCUCUUGACGAUUGUGAUCCGUCUAGGUUUCUGAAGUAUGUCUCGCUCGAGAGCCCUAAAACGUAAAGACUUAAACCCUUAUAGCGCAUUGAAUAUGAUCAACGUGGGAAAAAGGAAGUUUGGGGACUUUGAAGAGAGCGUACGAGGAUAUUGAGAUUGGCUAGCUUAAGGGACGAAUGAAGGGAAUGAUAGGAACUCUAUAGAAUUUGAGGAGAGUAACAUUUAUAGUGGAACAAUAAAUGCUAAUGAAACUGGAUGGGAUGUGUGACGAAAUUGAGAGAAACGUAGGUGAAGUAAAACGUAUUAAAAUCUAAUUAAAUGAAUUUCCGUUUUUAAUGGGGAAAAGGAAAAUUAAUAUGACAAUUAAUAGACAAAUGAACAGGAAUUUCAUGAAAAACUAGCAGAUGCAAUGGGUGGCUGUCGAAUUCCUAAGAAGCAACAAAUAUUCUGUUUUUUUUUUGUUUCUUACAAUAAAAGCAUUAGUUA